GAUGAAGAACGCAGCGAAAUGCGAUAAGUAGUGUGAAUUGCAGAAUUCAGUGAAUCAUCGAAUCUUUGAACGCACAUUGCGCCCUUUGGUAUUCCUUAGGGCAUGCCUGUUCGAGCGUCAUUUAAACCUUCAAGCUAAGCUUGGUGUUGGGUGACUGUCCGCUUCACGGCGGACUCGCCUCAAAAUUAUUGGCGGCCGGUACAUUGGCUUCGAGCGCAGCAGAAACGCGAACUCGGGCCCGUCGUAUUGGCUCCCAGAAGCUAUCUUCACAAUUUUGACCUCGGAUCAGGUAGGGAUACCCGCUGAACUUAAGCAUAUCAAUAAGCGGGGA
rnacentral:misc_RNA from 1 species